rnacentral:rRNA from 1 species
UGGGGAAUAUUGGACAAUGGGGGCAACCCUGAUCCAGCCAUGCCGCGUGAGUGAUGAAGGCCUUCGGGUUGUAAAGCUCUUUUGGCGGGGACGAUGAUGACGGUACCCGCAGAAUAGGCCCCGGCUAACUUCGUGCCAGCAGCCGCGGUAAGACGAAGGGGGCUAGCGUUGUUCGGAAUUACUGGGCGUAAAGCGAGUGUAGGCGGUUGCCGUAGUCAGGUGUGAAAGCCUUGAGCUCAACUCAAGAAAUGCACUUGAUACUGGGUGACUAGAGGACCGGAGAGGAUAGUGGAAUUCCCAGUGUAGUGGUGAAAUACGUAGAGAUUGGGAAGAACACCAGUGGCGAAGGCGGCUAUCUGGACGGUUACUGACGCUAAGACUCGAAAGCGUGGGGAGCAAACAGGAUUAGAUACCCUGGUAGUCCACGCCGUAAACGAUGGGUGCUAGACGUUGGCGAGCUUGCUCGUCAGUGUCGCAGCUAACGCGUUAAGCACCCCGCCUGGGGAGUACGGCCGCAAGGUUGAAACUUAAAUGAAUUGAC